AUAUUGCACAAUGGGCGAAAGCCUGAUGCAGCGACGCCGCGUGAGGGAAGACGGUCUUCGGAUUGUAAACCUCUGUCUUUGGGGAAGAAAAUGACGGUACCCAAAGAGGAAGCUCCGGCUAACUACGUGCCAGCAGCCGCGGUAAUACGUAGGGAGCAAGCGUUGUCCGGAAUUACUGGGUGUAAAGGGAGCGUAGGCGGGAUGGCAAGUAGAAUGUUAAAUCCAUCGGCUCAACCGGUGGCUGCGUUCUAAACUGCCGUUCUUGAGUGAAGUAGAGGCAGGCGGAAUUCCUAGUGUAGCGGUGAAAUGCGUAGAUAUUAGGAGGAACACCAGUGGCGAAGGCGGCCUGCUGGGCUUUAACUGACGCUGAGGCUCGAAAGCGUGGGGAGCAAACAGG
rnacentral:rRNA from 1 species